GGGGGUGAAUAGGGUUCGACUGGUUGUUAAAAUAAUAGUUGCAUUGAGUAGUUGAACGAAGGGCUACUUAAAAAAUCGUUCAUACUUUUUAAGUGCAGAAGAGAAUUUCUCACUAGCCGCUUAGUGCGGCAGGGGUAUCACAGCCCUGUAAACCAAAUAGUGAUGACUCAGAUAAAUCUGGUAGAGAUUAUGUACUUGAAUUAAAUACAUAUGAUAACAGUAAACUGUUUGACUCCGAUAAUCGGAUAAUUUUGUUUGUUGUGUGAUUACAAUAAACUAACAAUGUAGAUACUAUUACAGAGGCAAUACAGCACGGCGGUUCGAUUCCGCCCACCUCCACUG
rnacentral:tmRNA from 1 species